rnacentral:rRNA from 1 species
AGGGCACCACCAGGAGUGGAGCCUGCGGCUUAAUUUGACUCAACACGGGGAAACUCACCAGGUCAGAACACUGGAAGGAUGGACAGAUUGAUAGCUCUUUCUUGAUUCAGUGGGUGGUGGUGCAUGGCCGUUCUUAGUUGGUGGAGUGAUUUGUCUGGUUGAUUCCGAUAACGAACGAGAUUCUUGCCAAGCAUUUUGGAUCGUAGGAGAACGGCCUUAUGGCUGAGUACCCUGCGCCAGUAAUGCCGGGACAGAGAUCAACUAAGAUCUAUGAGAAAGAGCGAUAACAGGUCUGUGAUGCCCUUAGAUGUUCUGGGCUGCACGCGCGCUACACUGAAAAGGGGAACGUGCGUGCGGAUCCGGGCAUUUCUGAGAGGAGGUGCGAACCAUUUGAAACCUUUUCGUGAUGGGGAUUGGGCUUUGUAAUUAUUGCCCAUGAACGAGGAAUUCCCAGUAAACGUAAUUCAUCAAAUUGCGUUGACUACGUCCCUGCCCUUUGUACACACCGCCCGUCGCUAC